UCUGUAGGUGGCUUUCUUAAGUCUGCCGUCAAAUCCCAGGGCUUAACCCUGGCCAGGCGGUGGAGACUACUAAGCUGGAGUACGGUAGGGGCAGAGGGAUUUCCGGUGGAGCGGUGAAAUGCGUAGAUAUCGGAAAGAACACCAACGGCGAAGGCACUCUGCUGGGCCGAAACUGACACUGAGAGACGAGAGCUAGGGGAGCAAAUG
rnacentral:rRNA from 1 species